ensembl:lncRNA
AACUGACAUAGGGGUUUAAAGCCAACUGUCUAUAGAUUCUAUGUUGUGAUUUAUAACAACUGUCUAUAGAUUCUAUGUUGUGAUUUAUAACAACAUGACAUAGGAGUUUAAAGCCAACUGUCUAUAGAUUCUAUGUUGUGAUUUAUAACAACUGUCUAUAGAUUCUAUGUUGUGAUUUAUAACAACAUGACAUAGGGGUUUAAAGCCAACUGUCUAUAGAUUCUAUGUUGUGAUUUAUAACAACUGUCUAUAGAUUCUAUGUUGUGAUUUAUAACAACAUGACAUAGGGGUUUAAAGCCAACUGUCUAUAGAUUCUAUGUUGUGAUUUAUAACAACUGUCUAUAGAUUCUAUGUUGUGAUUUAUAACAACAUGACAUAGGGGUUUAAAGCCAACUGUCUAUAGAUUCUAUGUUGUGAUUUAUAACAACAUGACAUAGGGGUUUAAAGCCAACUGUCUAUAGAUUCUAUGUUGUGAUUUAUAACAACUGUCUAUAGAUUCUAUGUUGUGAUUUAUAUCAACUGUCUAUAGAUUCUAUGUUGUGAUUUAUAACAACAUGACAUAGGGGUUUAAAGCCAACUGUCUAUAGAUUCUAUGUUGUGAUUUAUAACAACAUGACAUAGGGGUUUAAAGCCAACUGUCUAUAGAUUCUAUGUUGUGAUUUAUAACAACUGUCUAUAGAUUCUAUGUUGUGAUUUAUAACAACUGUCUAUAGAUUCUAUGUUGUGAUUUAUAACAACUGUCUAUAGAUUCUAUGUUGUGAUUUACAACAACAUGACAUAGGGGUUUGAAACCAAGUGAGGUAGUGACAGAGCAGAAUUUAAAUAUAAUAUUUAUCCUUUAGAGACGUUUCAACUGUUAGAUUAAACCUGUGUAUCUUCUACCUCAUCUAGGAACUGAGGAGGAUUCAGUUUGUUGUUUAUUUGUAUGUAAAUAAAACAACAACACAACUACAGUAGCAAUCCCCGUUGUUAUUGCACCACUGUGGAACACAAAUCCUCUGUGUUAAAGGCUUUUUCUCCCUCUGUGCACUUCCUGUCCUCUGUGCACUUCCUGUCCGCUGUUACAAUGAGCUGUGGUACUUUGAACUGAGUAGGAAAUGAACAUCAAAUCACAGGCUAGUUACACCACAGCUGCUGUUAGUUACACCACAGCUGUUAGUUACACCACAGCUGUUAGUUACACCACAGCUGUUAGUUACACCACAGCUGUUAGUUACACCACAGCUGUUAGUUACACCACAGCUGCUGUUAGUUAUACCACAGCUACUGUUAGUUAUACCACAGCUGCUGUUAGUUAUACCACAGCUGUUAGUUACACCACAGCUGCUGUUAGUUACACCACAGCUGCUGUUAGUUACACCACAGCUGCUGUUAGUUAUACACCACAGCUGCUGUUAGUUAUACCACAGCUGCUGUUAGUUACACCACAGCUGCUGUUAGUUAUACCACAGCUGCUGUUAGUUAUACCACAGCUGCUGUUAGUUACACCACAGCUGCUGUUAGUUAUACCACAGCUGCUGUUAGUUAUACCACAGCUGCUGUUAGUUAUACCACAGCUGCUGUUAGUUACACCACAGCUGCUGUUAGUUAUACCACAGCUGCUGUUAGUUAUACCACAGCUGCUGUUAGUUAUACCACAGCUGCUGUUAGUUACACCACAGCUGCUGUUAGUUACACCACAGCUGCUGUUAGUUAUACCACAGCUGCUGUUAGUUAUACCACAGCUGCUGUUAGUUAUACCACAGCUGCUGUUAGUUAUACCACAGCUGCUGUUAGUUACACCACAGCUGCUGUUAGUUACACCACAGCUGCUGUUAGUUAUACCACAGCUGUUAGUUACACCACAGCUGUUAGUUACACCACAGCUGCUGUUAGUUACAUCACAGCUGCUGUUAGUUAUACCACAGCUGCUGUUAGUUACACCACAGCUGCUGUUAGUUAUACCACAGCUGUUAGUUAUACCACAGCUACUGUUAGUUAUACCACAGCUGUUAGUUAUACCACAGCUCCUGUUAGUUACACCACAGCUGUUAGUUAUUCCACAGCUGCUGUUAGUUAUACCACAGCUGCUGUUAGUUAUACCACAGCUGCUGUUAGUUACACCACAGCUGCUGUUAGUUACACCACAGCUGCUGUUAGUUAUACCACAGCUGCUGUUAGUUAUACCACAGCUGCUGUUAGUUAUACCACAGCUGCUGUUAGUUACACCACAGCUGCUGUUAGUUACACCACAGCUGCUGUUAGUUACACCACAGCUGCUGUUAGUUACACCACAGCUGCUGUUAGUUACACCACAGCUGCUGUUAGUUACACCACAGCUGCUGUUAGUUACACCACAGCUGCUGUUAGCU